ACUAGGUGUUAGCGCUGGCGCGGGAGGCCGGAGCAAGGUCUUUAAAGGUCUAAGGUGAAAUUCCGGGUGGGAGCUCAGUCAAGCCUCCCCUACCCAACUGGGAAUCAGUGCGCCAACCGGAGCACGCCCCCCAGGCGACACCGAGAGGCGCGGAACUCCCAAGCCUAGAGGGCGUCGGAAGUGCAUCCCAGAGCGGAGCAGCCAGAGGGGCGGGGCGUCGCGGCGCUGGGGCCGCGCCCUCGGGUAUCCAGAGUACGGCUCUUCCAGGCCAUGUUGAUGACCCAGGGUGGAAGCCAUUGGAGAGUUUUGAGAGAAGAAGGAGUGGCGAUGUAAGAUUCUGGGAAAUAUGAAUCUUUUUUUCAAAUCUUCAACAGAGCUUUAUGCAUCAAUAUGCUAAUGAGGUAAAUUGCACUACUAGUCAUUUCCAUAAAGUAUCUCUAAUUCUUUUCAAAACCUUGCAAAAUAGAUAAUAGUUCUUGCUUUGUUACUGAGGAGAUUGUGGCUCAGAAAGGCUAAGCAAUCAUCCAAGCUUGGCAUUAUUUACUGCCAACUCUCUCAGACCUCUUCACCGUUCCAUACCAUGUCCAAAUCAUCAACAUGUUUUGCCUAGAUUGCUGUGACAGCUUAGUCUAUUGCUCAUGCAGCAGCCAUACUCACACACACACAUAUAUAAAACACCUUAGAUUGUGCCAUUUCUUUGCUCGAAACUCUAAUGGCACCAGGCAUGGUGGCUGAUGCCUGUAAUCCCAGCACUUUGGGAGGCCGAGGCGGGCUGAUCACUUGAGGCCAGGAGGUUGAGAUCAGCCUGGCCAAUAUGGCAAAACCCCGUCUCUUCUAAAAAUGCAAAAUAAUAAUAAUAAUAAAAUUAGCCGGGCCUGGUGGUAGGUGCCUGUAAUACCAGCUACUCGGGAGGCUGAGGCAGGAGAAUCGGGGGCGGAGGUUGCAGUGAGCAGAGAUUGCGCCACUGCACUCUAGCCUGGGUAACAGAGUGAGACUCCAUUUCAAAAAAAAAUGCAGAGACACGGCCGGGCGUGGUGGCGCACGACUGUAAUCCCAGCACUUUGAGAGGCUGAGGCGGGUGGAUCACCUGAGGUCAGGAGUUCGAGACCAGCAUGGCCAACAUGGUGAAACUCCGUCUCUACUAAAAAUACAAACAUUGGCCGGGUGUGGUGGCGCGCGCCUGUAGUCCCAGGUACUCGGAGGCUGAGGCAGAAGAAUCGUUUGAACCCGGGAGGUGGAAGUUGCAGUGAGCCAAGAUCACACCACUGCACUCCAGUCUGGAAGACAGAGUGAGACUCUGUCUGGGAAAAAAAAAAAAAAAAAAAAAAAGCAGACACCAACACCUAGACUACGCUGACCAUUUGAAAAAGAAAUUACAGGUAUAAUAAGGACUAAGAAGAAACAAAAUUGUUUGUAUACACAGAAUAUAUGGUUGUCUAUGUAAAAAAAACAAACAAACCCAC
rnacentral:lncRNA from 1 species